GCCGGGUGUGAUGGCUCACACCUGUAAUCCCAGCACUUUGGGAGGCUGAGGCGGGUGGAUCACUUGAGGUCAGGAGUUCAAGACCAGCCUGGCCAACAUGGUGAAACCCCAUCUCUA
rnacentral:SRP_RNA from 1 species